rnacentral:rRNA from 1 species
GAUGAACGCUGGCGGCGUGCCUAAUACAUGCAAGUCGAGCGAAGCGGGGACGGGUGAGUACUACGUGGAUAACCUCCUAUAAGACUGGGAUAACUUCGGGAAACCGGAUCUCAACCGGAAACUCAUUGAUGGUGUCUCGCUGCAUUAGCUAGUUGGUAGGGUAACGGCUUACCAAGGCAACGAUGCAUAGCUGACCUGAGAGGGUGAUCAGCCACACUGGAACGGAGACACGGUCCAGACUCCUACGGGAGGCAGCAGUGGGGAAUCUUCCGCAAUGGGCGAAAGCCUGACGGAGCAACGCCGCGUGAGUGAUGAAGGUCUUCGGAUCGUAAAACUCUGUUAUUAGGGAGGCGGUACCUAAUCAGAAAGCCACGGCUAACUACGUGCCAGCAGCCGCGGUAAUAC